AGGAGGAGUCCGGAGCAGGGAGCGGAGAGUGACAGGCGACGCUGUCCAAUAACAGGAGGGGUUGGGCUGCCUGAGCCAAUAGAAAGUCCGUAAGGCGGGACGAGGACUGCAGCAAGUUCGGUUGCGCGGAGACCGCAGCUGUUCCCUGUCAGUGGAGGCAGCGGCUGUAGAGGCGGUGGCGACGACUUGCGGCGGCAGCGAGGAGGUAGCACCUGCCUUCCGAGAGCUGACAGAACGCUGAGGGUAAGUCCUGGGCCUGGAUCCAGGUCAGUGGGAUGCAUGUGGGUCGCCUUCAGGAGCAUCUGCUGUAGAGCUUAGCAGCCUGGCUCGUCAGUUCCGGAGCACAAUAAAUAAAAAAGGGCCAAGCUCUGAUUUCUGGAAAAUAUAAGCCGUCUUUGUCUGUUCCCAACUCUCUUGCUUGUCUGGGUUUUCACGGGAAAGCAGUUGGCCAGCCUCAGCAGGAGGCCCUACUUCUGGAAGGGCCUCGCCUAUAGGGGGUGAGGGCUGGGGCCCCCCCCCAGGUCCGCAAGAAGCAUCUGCAGGGCAGGGCGGCCUCUGAGAAGACCCCUUGAGUCAGUGUGGAGAGCAGGCCGCUGGGCUCAGGAAGUGGCUCUGUCCACUGGCUGGGAGAGCACUUGACCCGCGUGCCAGACAGUGACGCUCAGCCUUGGGAGUCACGGUGACGAAGGGCUGAAGGCUGACUUGUCCCUCCUUCCCCGACAUAGCUUGUUCUGUGUGCCACUGCUGCCCUGUAAACCUCCUGUGCUAAGGUCUCCCCUCGCACAGGAAACUCUGCUGAUCGCGCUGAGCCCAGGGCAUCUCAGCCUGAAUGCCAAGCGAGGCGCUCGUGACCGGUGUCCACCCGAAGGUCCCGUCUGUCUCUGGCGGCUGGCUGGGGAGAGCGUCCCAGCUGGACAUGAUGCUGGCUCUGUCUCGUGUCCCGCCUGCAUUUCAGACACUGAUCCGCUCUUCCCUCCACCACAGGCAGGCCAGCUGCUACCCCCGGUUCACAGCCAGGUGCCCUGGGAACUGUGUGGCUCGGGGACAACUGCCCAGAGCUCAGGUCCAGUGCUCAGCAUGAGGACUCCUUUGUUUGGGGAUUUUUCUCGGGUGACCCCUCCGGAGCCAGAAGCCGUUUUCCUCUCCGAGAUGUUCCAUCGCCCUUGCUUGUCCCAGGUCUUGGGCCAGCAGUGGCCGUCUUCCACUCUGGGAGUGAGUCUGCUGGGAAAGGCGGGCCGAGUGUACGGCAGGUGGGGACGGUGGAGACAGCUCCGGACCUUUGACAGACCCCACCCUCCGCAAAGUUUCCACCUCCUGUCCGGGCUGAUAGAGCUGAGCAUUGCUCCUUUUCCUGGCAUCCCUGUGAGGAGGAGAGGGGGCCACUGGCGGGAGGCUCCCCAAAGCAACUCUCUUGUGGAGCUGAGAAAUGGGGGCCCAGGGAAGGCCAAUUAGCAGCAUCCAAGAUUCUGAUCCUCCCCCUUUUCCUCAGAGCAUCAUCUUUUAUUGCAUGUCUUCCCCAAAUCCAUCACUAGGAAGGGAAAUUUAGUUGCCAGGAAGGGCCCCCUUCUCCGAGGUCGUCUAAUUAGUUAAAGCAUGUUUGGUUCCUCAGUCCUGAAGUCCCACUCAGUCCCUGGAGCUUUGCUUAGUUACGGUCACUAAGACUCUGCCAUUGAAGGUCCCUGCCCUCCCCUGUCCUCCUUCUGUCUCCUUGGUGACCCUGGAGGGAGGUGGAUGAAGCCUCUGGGUCAGCUCAACCCCACGGCCCCCGCCCCUCACCUCUUUUUCCUGAUCUGCCUGCAGGCCAGAGAAGCAGGAGGGGGCUGGGAUGCCAAGGCCGCUCGCGUACGUUUCCACCAGCUGUAUGUGGAAUGGGGCCAGACUCCACAUGUGGCAGCUCCUCUCCUGACCGACAUCCGUCCCCGCCUGAGGCCUCGGGAAAAUUCCAUGAUGUGGCUGUGCUGAGUCAUGCUUAGUGUCUGAGGAUCCGUAUGUCACCUUUCGCGUGUCUGUCACUGGUCAGCCCUGGGUCUGGGAAAGGCUGCAGCUUCCACAGCAGCCGUGAUAUCCUGCUGCUGAUCCUUUCUGUUUACCCACUGCUGUGUGCCUCUCCCGAGUGCUUUGACUGCUGUGCCGUUUAUCAGUAUAUCAUUGAUUAAUAUUAAAUACUAAGUGGAUUACUUAUUCUGGAAAAUAUUCUUCUCAUGAAUGAAGAAACUGAGGUUUGGAGAGACUAAGUGACUUGGAGAAUUUUGGGUGACUGGCGAGUGGCAAGUCUGGGUGAGAUUUUUGAUGAUAUCUCACUCCCACACACCCCCCCUUGUGGUUUCUUGUGUAAUGCAAAGAUUAUUCAGAAGAUACUUUGGUUGAAAAAAAUGAUUUUCAAUUUGUUCAAGUUACAAACUCAAAAAAAAACUCACUCUUUAAGGGCUAGACUUUUCCAUUUAGCUUUUAAGUAUAGCCUACAAAUCUUUUCUGUUCUUUUUUUUUUUUUUUCUCUUUUUGAUUCUAGAAAAUUUUAACAAUCACUUUAAGGGGCCCUUUGGUUAAUACUGAUCCAUUUGCAAGAUUAACUCAUUGGAAAAUUCCAGAUCGAGUUUAUGAAUGACGUUCAACUUCCUUUAAUUAAUACUUGCAAGUGUCUGAUUAACAAAAUCUUUAAUACUUCAGUAUUCCUGUAAAUCUAAUAAUUUAAAUGGACUCAGUUUUUCUUAAGCAUUCCUGUGUUGUUUUAUGUUUUAUUAUUGACGCAGCUUUAUUGAGGUAUUUUUGACAGAAUAAACUGCACAUAUUUUAAGUGUAUGCUUUAUGUUUUGACAUAUGCAUAUACUUGUGAAAUCAUAACUGCAAUUAGGACAGUGAUUAUCCCAAAGCAUCCCCACGCCCCUGGGCAAUCCCUCCCUCCCUCAUGCCCCUUGGCAAUUCCUCUUUGCCUCCCUCACCCACAUGCAACCCUGAACUGUUUUCUGUUACUAUAGAUUAGGUUGCAAUUUCUGGAAUUUUCCAGAAGCGGAAUCAUGUAGUGUGCAUUCCUUUUUGGUCUGGCUUCAUUUACUCGGCAUAAUUAUUUUGGAAUUUGUCCAUAUUGUGUGUACCAAUAGUUCCUUUCAUUGCUGAGUAAUAUUCCAUUAGCGGAAAUUCCACAAGUUGUUUCUCCACUCACCUUUUGUUGGUCAUUUUCGUUGUUUCCAGUUUUUGGCGAUUCUAAAUAAAGGUGCUCUGAGCCUCUGUGUACAGGUCUUUGUAUGGGCAUGUAUUUCCUUUUCUCUUGGGCAAAGGUGUAAGAGCGGAGCGGCUGGAUCGUGUGGUAGGUGUGUGUUUGACUUAAACUGCCCAGCCGUCUUCCAAAGUGGCUGCACCAUUUUACAUUCCCGCCCACCAGCAACGGAUAAGAGUUCUGGUUUCUCCACAUUCUCACCCACACUGGAUAUGACCAGUCUUUCAUUUUAGCUGUUCUAAAAGGUGUGUAGUAGUAUCUCAUGGUGGUUUCAAUUUGAAUUUCCCUGGUGACCAAUGAUGUUGAGCAUCUUUUCAUAUGCUUAUUGGUCAUCUGAAAUACUGAUUUUUUUUGCAUUUUUUAAGGGCUAUACCUGCAGCAUAUUGAAGUUCCCAGGCUAGGGGUCGAAUCAGAGCUACAGCUGCCAGCCUACACCACAGCCACAGCAAUGUGGGGAUCCGAGCCAUGUCUGCAACCUACACCACAGCUCAUGGCAACGCCGGAUCCUUAACCCACUGAGCAAAGGCAGGGACUGAACCGGCAACCUCAUGGUUCCUAGUCGGAUUCGUUAACCACUGCGCCACAACGGGAACUCUGAGAGGACUUCUUUAAAGAGACUUCUCUGUGAAGGAAAUGAGAAAACUGGCAAAAAUUGUCAAAAUCAACUUUCUCCAAACUCUAGGAAUUAACCAAAGGCUUGCAGCAAUCCAAGGAACACUUAUUCAAGAAAAAUGGCUGAAUCCUAUUUUCAAUGAAAAAUUAUGAGGCAUGUAAAGAGACAGGAAAGAAUGCAUGUACACACGAAAAGACACAAUCCAUAGAAACUGGCCCUGAGGAAACUCAGACAUUGGACUUUAGAGACAAAGACUUCAAAUCAGCUGUUUUAAAACAUGUUUAAGUUCCCUUCGUGGCUCAGCCUAAAUGACCCCAACUCCUAUCCAUGAGAUUGCGGGUUCGAUCCCUGGCCUCGCUCAGUGGUUUAAGGAUCCAGCGUUGCCAUGAGCUGUGGUGUAGGCUGGCAGCUGCAGCUCUAAUUCCAUUCAGGGCUACAGGUAAGGCCCUGAAAAGCAAAAAAUAAAAUGUUUAAAAAACUAGGGUGUUCCCUGGUUGCCUGGUGGUGAAAAGAUCUGGCGUUACCAUUGCUGUGGUGCAGGUUUGGUUCCUGACCCCGUGACGUCUGCAGGCCACCGGCACUGAAGGACAAAACCCCAACAACUGGAGGGAGGUGUGAAAACAGAACAGUGCCUCACCAAAUAGAGAUGAUCAGCAAGUGAGAGAAAUUACCAAAAAAACAAAAAACAAAAAGAUUCUGGAGUUGGAAAGUACAAUACGUGAAACGAACAACACAUCAGAGGGGCUCAGGAGCGUUGGGCAGGCAGGAAAAUCGGCAAACUUGAAGACAGGUCAGUGAUAUUCAACACUCUGGGAACAGAAGGAAAGAAGAAUGAAGGAAAAUGAGCAGCACCUCAGACACCCAGAAGACAUCAUCAAACAUACACACGACAGGAGUCCUCCAAAGAGGAUUCUGCGGCAGAUUGAGUGUGUGAGGAAAGAAGCCCCAGGGAGUUCUCGGAGGACCUAGCAGGUUGAGGCUCCUGUGUUCUCACGCUGGGCUCUGCUUGCUGAUGUGUGGCAAAGGUUCAGUCCCCGGCCCAGGAAUUCCCACAUAUUGCCUGUGUAGCAAAAAAGAAAAAAAAAAAAUAUAUAAAAAAGCCCCAAGAGAGAACCUGAAAUAAACAUUGCAACUCUCAAAAAAAAAAAAAAAAAAAA
rnacentral:lncRNA from 9 species